GAGACGGGUGAGCGUGAGUCGGGUGAGCGUGAGUAAGGUGAGCGUGAGUCGGGUGAGCGUGAGUCGGGUGAGCGUGAGUAAGGUGAGCGUGAGUAAGGUGAGCGUGAGUCGGGUGAGCGUGAGUCGGGUGAGCGUGAGUCGGGUGAGCGUGAGUAAGGUGAGCGUGAGUCGGGUGAGCGUGAGUAAGUUGAGCGUGAGUCGGGUUAGGGUGAGUCGGGUGAGCGUGAGUCGGGUGUUUUGACUUGAUUUCCCUUUUUCUCAUCUCCGUCCCCCUGGGUUAUUCUGUUCUUGCUUUGACAACAAUCCCUGUUUUACAUGCGCAAGUCCACCAACCCACCCCAGUUUUCCCACAA